rnacentral:rRNA from 1 species
UGAGGAAUAUUGGACAAUGGGCGCAAGCCUGAUCCAGCCAUGCCGCGUGCAGGAUGACGGUCCUAUGGAUUGUAAACUGCUUUUGCACAGGAAGAAACAACGCUACGUGUAGCGUCUUGACGGUACUGUGAGAAUAAGGAUCGGCUAACUCCGUGCCAGCAGCCGCGGUAAUACGGAGGAUCCAAGCGUUAUCCGGAAUCAUUGGGUUUAAAGGGUCCGUAGGCGGUCUUAUAAGUCAGUGGUGAAAUCUCCCCGCUCAACGGGGAAACGGCCACUGAUACUGUAAGACUUGAAUUAUUAGGAAGUAACUAGAAUAUGUAGUGUAGCGGUGAAACGCUUAGAGAUUACAUGGAAUACCAAUUGCGAAGGCAGGUUACUACUAAUGGAUUGACGCUGAUGGACGAAAGCGUGGGUAGCGAACAGGAUUAGAUACCAUGGUAGUCCACGCCGUAAACGAUGGAUACUAGCUGUUGGGAGCAAUCUCAGUGGCUAAGCGAAAGUGAUAAGUAUCCCACCUGGGGAGUACGUUCGCAAGAAUG